rnacentral:rRNA from 1 species
AGUGAACGCUGGCGGUAGGCCUAACACAUGCAAGUCGAACGGCAGCACAGUAAGAGCUUGCUCUUACGGGUGGCGAGUGGCGGACGGGUGAGGAAUACAUCGGAAUCUACUUUUUCGUGGGGGAUAACGUAGGGAAACUUACGCUAAUACCGCAUACGACCUACGGGUGAAAGCAGGGGAUCAUCGGACCUUGCGCGAUUGAAUGAGCCGAUGUCGGAUUAGCUAGUUGGCGGGGUAAAGGCCCACCAAGGCGAUGAUCCGUAGCUGGUCUGAGAGGAUGAUCAGCCACACUGGAACUGAGACACGGUCCAGACUCCUACGGGAGGCAGCAGUGGGGAAUAUUGGACAAUGGGCGCAAGCCUGAUCCAGCCAUACCGCGUGGGUGAAGAAGGCCUUCGGGUUGUAAAGCCCUUUUGUUGGGAAAGAAAAGCAGCAGGUUAAUACCCCGCUGUUCUGACGGUACCCAAAGAAUAAGCACCGGCUAACUUCGUG